rnacentral:rRNA from 1 species
GACGAACGCUGGCGGCGUGCCUAAUACAUGCAAGUAGAACGCUGAAGGAGGAGCUUGCUCUUCUGGAUGAGUUGCGAACGGGUGAGUAACGCGUAGGUAACCUGCCUGGUAGCGGGGGAUAACUAUUGGAAACGAUAGCUAAUACCGCAUAACAGUAGAUGUUGCAUGACAUUUGCUUAAAAGGUGCAAUUGCACCACUACCAGAUGGACCUGCGUUGUAUUAGCUAGUUGGUGGGGUAACGGCUCACCAAGGCGACGAUACAUAGCCGACCUGAGAGGGGGAUCGGCCACACUGGGACUGAGACACGGCCCAGACGCCUACGGGAGGCAGCAGUAGGGAAUCUUCGGCAAUGGACGGAAGUCUGACCGAGCAACGCCGCGUGAGUGAAGAAGGUUUUCGGAUCGUAAAGCUCUGUUGUAAGAGAAGAACGAGUGUGAGAGUGGAAAGUUCACACUGUGACGGUAUCUUACCAGAAAGGGACGGCUAACUACGUG